ACCUGGGCAAAAUUCAAAAUUGAUAAUUCCUGUCAAACUGAAAAUGUUUAAUGUAGGGACAUCAAAUCUGUAAAUAUAAUUUAGGAUGAAAAUCAUGGUUUGUCAUAUUGACUCCUGUCUGUAAGUGUAGCGUACCCAUGGUUGAAUUUUAUUUUUUUAAAGUUUUGUUGAAGCCAGUCGAAAGAUGACCGAGUUAAACAGCCCUUUAAAUGGGCCCCUCUUUUUAUUUAGACACCUGUUACUAUCUCUCUAUUGAAAUAAUGAUAAUGAUUAGAUUAAAAUAUAUUGAAAUAGAUUUAUGCCAUAAAUAAACUUGAUGAUGGUUGCCUAAUGUUUAUCUUUAUGACAUGGUUUUUAUUGUUUCAUUACAGUGGGGAGAUAUUUGCUCACAAAACAAACGUGUGUGCCUCAGUGACAGAGACCUGGUCUAUCUCCUGGACACGAGGAGAGAGCAAAGGUCGACCAGAAACUGGAGGAGGGUGAGGAACCGGGGAACAGAAUUUUUACUGAAACAACAGACUUUAGCGAGACAUAGAGGGAAAAGAAGACAAACUACAGUGGAGUCUGCUGAAACCAAACACGGUUCAUCCGAUAAUCAUGUGGCGCUGUUUCCAUCUGUACUUUUUACCUGUGCUGAAAGUGGCUUGAAAGAGCACCAAAACUGGUCCCUCACACCGGUGGAGCAACUGGCUGUUGCUAUGGAGAGAAGCUUUCUACGUAAAACAUCAUCUUUUUCCGAGUUGAACAUUCCAAAAGCCCAACAGUCGUGCGUACCUGAAUGCCAUAGAAAUCUCGCCCUUCCUUGAGAUACAGCCAUAGUUCUCAACACUCAACCAUUCAUCUAAGAAACGCGAUUCUACAGACAGGAUGUCUUCUGAACGUCAGAACCUGACAGAAAUGUUCAGCUAUCUGUCCGGAGAACAUUCACGACGCUACCAUGUUGAAGGGGACAUCAGCGCUGCUUACUCAGAGAUGGUCAUCAACAGGAUCUGUCGGUAGAUUUGACUGGACGAAAGAUGAAGCAGACAAAGAGAUGUGGAUAACUGAGUGGAUCUGUGUGGAUCGGAAAAAUACCUCAUGUCUAGCUCAUCCCGAAUAUUCCCCACUAUUUUUUAGCUCAUCCCCAGUAAUUUUUUAUAUGAUCCCUAUUAUUUU